rfam:Gossypium hirsutum cultivar TM-1 unplaced genomic scaffold scaffold586.1, whole genome shotgun sequence
AUGACCUUACUUGAAUCAUAUUUAUUCUAUAGGCUUGUACCUCUGUUUCCUUUAGCGUAAAAAAGAUAGGAUCUCACGUUUGGUUGAUGUCCUAUGACCUUGUGAUUGGAGCAUGAUUAAUUCUCUUUUUUAGGGUAUUCCUUUCACCAUACUAAAGCUGUAGAGGAUCGUUUCCUGUUGGGAUCAACUAAGCAUGGAAUGGUCAUCAGGUUGUCAGACAGACU